ensembl:snRNA U6 U6 spliceosomal RNA
GUUCUCAUCUCUUUUACAGCACAUAUACCAAAAUUGGAAUGAUACAGAAAAGAUUAGCAUGGCCCCUGUGCAAGGAUGACCCACAGAUUCGUCAAGCGUUCCAUAUUUCU